UAGCAUAUCAAUAAGCGGAGGAAAAGAAACCAACAGGGAUUGCCCUAGUAACGGCGAGUGAAGCGGCAACAGCUCAAAUUUGAAAUCUGGCCCUCGGGUCCGAGUUGUAAUUUGUAGAGGAUGCUUUUGGUGAGGUGCCUUCCGAGUUCCCUGGAACGGGACGCCAUAGAGGGUGAGAGCCCCGUCUGGUUGGACACCGAGCCUCUGUAAAGCUCCUUCGACGAGUCGAGUAGUUUGGGAAUGCUGCUCUAAAUGGGAGGUAUAUGUCUUCUAAAGCUAAAUACCGGCCAGAGACCGAUAGCGCACAAGUAGAGUGAUCGAAAGAUGAAAAGCACUUUGAAAAGAGAGUUAAAAAGUACGUGAAAUUGUUGAAAGGGAAGCGCUUAUGACCAGACUUGGGCUUGGUUGAUCAUCCUGGGUUCUCCCUGGUGCACUCUUCCAGUUCAGGCCAGCAUCAGUUCGCUGCGGGGGAUAAAAGUUUUGGGAAUGUGGCUCCUCCGGGAGUGUUAUAGCCCAUUUCAUAAUACCCUGCUCCGGACUGAGGUUCGCGCAUCUGCAAGGAUGCUGGCGUAAUGGUCAUCAGCGACCCGUCUUGAAACACGGACCAAGGAGUCGUCUUCGUAUGCGAGUGUUCGGGUGUUAAACCCCUACGCGUAAUGAAAGUGAACGCAGGUGAGAGCUUCGGCGCAUCAUCGACCGAUCCUGAUGUUCUCGGAUGGAUUUGAGUAAGAGCAUACGGGGCCGGACCCGAAAGAAGGUGAACUAUGCCUGUAUAGGGUGAAGCCAGAGGAAACUCUGGUGGAGGCUCGCAGCGGUUCUGACGUGCAAAUCGAUCGUCAAAUAUGGGCAUGGGGGGCGAAAGACUAAUCGAACCUUCUAGUAGCUGGUUUCCGCG
rnacentral:rRNA from 1 species